rnacentral:rRNA from 1 species
AUUAGUGGCGAACGGGUGAGUAACACGUGAGUAACCUGCCCUCCACUUUGGGAUAGCUCCGAGAAAUCGGGGCUAAUACUGGAUAUGACCUUGGCCCGCAUGGGUUAUGGUGGAAAGUUUUUCGGUGGGGGAUGGGCUCGCGGCCUAUCAGUUUGUUGGUGAGGUAGUGGCUCACCAAGGCGAUGACGGGUAGCCGGCCUGAGAGGGCGACCGGCCACACUGGGACUGAGACACGGCCCAG